rnacentral:misc_RNA from 1 species
GAUGAAGAACGUAGCGAAAUGCGAUACGUAAUGUGAAUUGCAGAAUUCAGUGAAUCAUCGAGUCUUUGAACGCACAUUGCGCCCUCUGGUAUUCCGGAGGGCAUGCCUGUCCGAGCGUCAUUGCUGCCCUCAAGCACGGCUUGUGUGUUGGGCCCGCCCCCCGAUCCCGGGGGGCGGGCCCGAAAGGCAGCGGCGGCACCGCGUCCGGUCCUCGAGCGUAUGGGGCUUUGUCACCCGCUCUGUAGGCCCGGCCGGCGCUUGCCGAUCAACCAAACUUUUUUCCAGGUUGACCUCGGAUCAGGUAGGGAUACCCGCUGAACUUAAGCAUAUCAAUAAGCGGAGGA